CACAAACACUUCUUUCCUCCCUAAUUGCCAUCUCCAGCCUACCCUGUGAGUUUCUCCUUGUGACUUGCAUGGACCCAGCUUCCCACUCGUAGAUCUUUCUUGCACAAGGACAGUCCAUUGCCCUGGUUCUUAUGUUUUCUAAAAUGGAUCCAAGGUCACUGGGUUAUAGUAUGAGGAUAACACCACUUGAGAAGCCUUUUCUCAAGAGGACAAAUCUGACUUAGUACCCAAUCCAGGAAGAUGAGAAAUUAAAUUAAAUAAUGUAGCAAUAUGGAGGUGGCAUGAUCCAAUGAAAAGAAUUCUGGACUUGGAGUUAAAAGACCUGGAUCUAAGCCAUGGUUCCAAAUUUUACUUACUUUAUGAUUAGAGCUUGGCUAACAUUAUAAACAUAUAUAAUAAAGAUUCAAAGGAGGAGCUUCACCUUCAUCAGACAACUUCAAAGGAAGAGAGCUGCCUCAGCAACUUCCCAGAAAGGAUUACUUUUUUGAGGGCAGAUAAUGAGAGAACAUUUACUUUCUCUUCCACAGGAUUCAAGGGAAUGACGAAAUAGCAUAUUACAAAAUGAACACAGAUAUUAAACCUGCCAUGCUCUCAUCACAAAAUGGGUUCAGAUCUCAGAUAGGAGGAGAAAGUGAAUGUUGAAGUGAUUCAGUAAGUUCGAGGAACUCUUUUUCCAUAAACCAAUGGAAGAGAUGAGGAGAUAGAAGAAUCUUAAUCUCCAGAAGAUCUUCCCAGUUAUAUAUACUUUGAUCUAUAUUGUUUAGUCAGGCAUGAGACUGACUUUUUUUUUAAAUGUCUAUUAUUUUAUAAUUAUUAUCUGCCCUGUCUUUGACUUAAGGUGUUUCAAUAAGUUCAUUUUCUUUUAGAAGCAUAAUAUGAGAGUUCCAGUCAAGAUGGCGGCUUAGAGAGAGCUAAAGUUCAGAUCUCCGGAAACCCCUUCAUUACUGAUCUCAAACUGUAUGCUCCUAGGACACAGAAAUUCAAAACAAACAACAGGAUAGAUCCCGGGAACCCUCCUCCUGGACCUGGAUCAAAAGGGGAAGUUAAUCCUAUCAGGAGCCCUUGGGGCUCCUGGAAGCCACAGCCCUUCCCCCUUCAGAGUGCAGGCUCUUCUAAAACAACAGUAACCCUCAGGGCCAGCUAUUCAGAAGGCCACAUCCUGAAAACAACCUGAGCCAGUCUCAGGGGCACCCAGACAGCCAGGAAACAGAGAGAGACAGAGGGGAGCCUGUAGCCCCCUGGCUGGAUCCUUCCAUCUCAGGGAAGGUCCCUGCUUUAAAACACACUCAAUACAACACAGGGGAAGUUAAUCCUAUCAGGAGCCCUCGGAGCUGGAGACUGGAAAGACCUCCAGGAAGUGAUGCAGAGCGAGAGGAGCAGAACCAGGAGAACAUUGUACACAGAGACUAAUACACUGUGGUAUAAUCGAACGUAAUGGACUUCUCCAUUAGUGGAGGUGUAAUGUCCCUGAACAAUCUGCAGGGAUCUAGGAGAAAAACACUAUUCAUAAGCAGAGGACAAACUGUGGGAGUAGAAACACCGAGGAAAAACAACUGCCUGACUACAGUGGUUGAGAGGACAUGACAGAGGAGAGACUCUAAAGGAACACUCUAAUGCAAAUACUAACAACAUGGCAAUGGGUUUGAAUCAAGAACUCAUGUGAUACCCAGUGGAAUCACACGUCGGCUAUGGGGGGUGGGAGGGGAGGAAAAGAAAAUGAUUUUUGUCUUUAAUGAAUAAUGCUUAGAAAUGAUCA
ensembl:lncRNA